GCGGCGGACGGGUGAGUAACACGUGGGCAACCUGCCCUGCAGACUGGGAUAACUUCGGGAAACCGGAGCUAAUACCGGAUAACACCGAAAACCGCAUGGUUUUCGGUUGAAAGGCGGCUUUUAGCUGUCACUGCAGGAUGGGCCCGCGGCGCAUUAGCUAGUUGGUGAGGUAACGGCUCACCAAGGCGACGAUGCGUAGCCGACCUGAGAGGGUGACCGGCCACACUGGGACUGAAACACGGCCCAAACUCCUACGGGAGGCAGCAGUAGGGAAUCUUCCGCAAUGGACGAAAGUCUGACGGAGCACCGCCGCGUGAGCGAAGAAGGUCUUCGGAUCGUAAAGCUCUGUUGUCAGGGAAGAACAAGUACCGUUCGAACAGGGCGGUACCUUGACGGUACCUGACGAGGAAGCCACGGCUAACUACGUGCCAGCAGCCGCGGUAAUAC
rnacentral:rRNA from 1 species